rnacentral:rRNA from 1 species
UACGUAGGGUCCGAGCGUUGUCCGGAAUUACUGGGCGUAAAGAGCUCGUAGGUGGUUUGUCGCGUUGUUCGUGAAAACUCACAGCUUAACUGUGGGCGUGCGGGCGAUACGGGCAGACUGGAGUACUGCAGGGGAGACUGGAAUUCCUGGUGUAGCGGUGAAAUGCGCAGAUAUCAGGAGGAACACCGGUGGCGAAGGCGCCACUCUGGGCCACGACUGACGCUGAGGAGCGAAAGCAUGGGUAGCAAACAGG